CUGGAACCAUGGAGCUCAGCGUCCUCCUCUUCCUUGCACUCCUCACAGGCCUCUUGCUACUCCUGGUUCAGCGUCACCCUAACUCCCAUGGCACCCUCCCACCAGGGCCCCGCCCUCUGCCCCUUUUGGGGAACCUUCUGCAGAUGGACAGAAGAGGCCUACUCAAAUCCUUUCUGAGGUUCCGAGAGAAAUAUGGGGACGUCUUCACGGUACACCUGGGACCGAGGCCCGUGGUCAUGCUGUGUGGAGUAGAGGCCAUACGGGAGGCCCUGGUGGACAACGCUGAGGCCUUCUCUGGCCGGGGAAAAAUCGUCAUCAUGGACCCAGUCUACCAGGGAUAUGGCAUGCUCUUUGCCAAUGGAAACCGCUGGAAGGUGCUUCGGCGAUUCUCUGUGACCACCAUGAGGGACUUCGGGAUGGGAAAGCGGAGUGUGGAGGAGCGGAUUCAGGACGAGGCUCAGUGUCUGAUAGAGGAACUUCGGAAAUCCAAGGGAGCCCUCGUGGACCCCACCUUCCUCUUCCAUUCCAUUACCGCCAACAUCAUCUGCUCCAUCAUCUUUGGAAAACGCUUCCACUACCAAGAUCAAGAGUUCCUGAAGACGCUGAACUUGUUCUGCCAGAGUUUCUUACUCAUCAGCUCUAUAUCCAGCCAGCUGUUUGAGCUCUUCUCUGGCUUCUUGAAAUACUUUCCUGGGGCACACAGGCAAGUUUACAAAAACCUACAGGAAAUCAAUGCUUACAUUGGCCACAGUGUGGAGAAGCACCGUGAAACCCUGGACCCCAGCGCCCCCAGGGACCUCAUCGACACCUACCUGCUCCACAUGGAAAAAGAGAAAUCCAACCCACACAGUGAAUUCAGCCACCAGAACCUCAUCAUCAACACGCUCUCGCUCUUCUUUGCUGGCACUGAGACCACCAGCACCACUCUCCGCUACGGCUUCCUGCUCAUGCUCAAAUACCCUCAUGUCGCAGAGAGAGUCUACAAGGAGAUUGAACAGGUGGUUGGCCCACAUCGCCCUCCAGCGCUUGAUGACCGAGCCAAAAUGCCAUACACAGAGGCAGUCAUCCGUGAGAUUCAGAGAUUUGCUGACCUUCUCCCCAUGGGUGUGCCCCACAUUGUCACCCAACACACCAGCUUCUGAGGGUACACCAUCCCCAAGGACACGGAAGUAUUUCUCAUCCUGAGCACUGCUCUCCGUGACCCACACUACUUUGAAAAACCAGACGCCUUCAAUCCUGACCACUUUCUGGAUGCCAAUGGGGCACUGAAAAAGAAUGAAGCUUUUAUCCCCUUCUCCUUAGGGAAGCGGAUUUGUCUUGGUGAAGGCAUUGCCCGUGCGGAAUUGUUCCUCUUCUUCACCACCAUCCUCCAGAACUUCUCCGUGGCCAGCCCCGUGGCUCCUGAAGACAUCGAUCUGACACCCCAGGAGUGUGGUGUGGGCAAAAUACCCCCAACAUACCAGAUCUGCUUCCUGCCCCGCUGAAGGGGCUGAGGGAAGGGGGUCAAAGGAUUCCAGGGUCAUUCAGUGUCCCCACCUCUGUAGAUAAUGGCUCUGACUCCCUGCAACUUCCUGCCUCUGAGAGACCUGCUGCAAGCCAGCUUCCUUCCCUUCCAUGGCACCAGUUGUCUGAGGUCGCAGUGCAAAUGAGUGGAGGAGUGAGAUUAUUGAAAAUUAUAAUAUACAAAAUUAUAUAUAUAUAUUUUGAGACAGAGUCUCACUCAGUUGCCCAGGCUGGAGUGCAGUGGCGUGAUCUCGGCUCACUGCAACCUCCACCCCCGGGGUUCAAGAAAUUCUCCUGCCUCAGCCUCCCUAGUAGCUGGGAUUACAGGUGUGUGCUACCAUGCCUGGCUAAUUUUUGUAUUUUUAGUAGAGAUGGGGUUUCACCGUGUUGGCCAGGCUGAUCUCAAACUCCUGAACUCAAGUGAUUCACCCACCUUAGCCUCCCAAAGUGCUGGGAUUACAGGUGUGAGUCACCAUGCCCGGCCAUGUAUAUAUAUAAUUUUAAAAAUUAAGAUGAAAUUCACAUAAAAUAAAAUUAGCCAUUUUAAAGUGUACAAUUUAGUGGUGUGUGGUUCAUUCACAAAGCUGUACAACCACCACCAUCUAGUUCCAAACAUUUUCUUUUUUUCUGAGACGGAGUCUCACUCUGUCACCCAGGUUCGAGUUCAGUGGUCUUGAACUCCUGAUGUCAGGUGAUUCUCCUAGUUCCAAAUGUUUUCAUUAUCUCCCCCCAACAAAACCCAUACCUAUCAAGCUGUCACUCCCCAUACCCCAUUCUCUUUUUCAUCUCAGCCCCUGUCAAUCUGGUUUUUGUCCUUAUGGACUUACCAAUUCUGAAUAUUUCCUAUAAACAGAAUCACACAAUAUUUGAUUUUUUUUUUAAAACUAAGCCUUGCUCUGUCUCCCAGGCUGGAGUGCUGUGGCGUGAUUUUGGUUCACUGCAACCUCCGCCUUCCAAGUUCAAGAGAUUCUCCUGCCUCAGCUUCCAAGUAGCUGGGAUUACAGGCAUGUGGUACCACGCCUGGCUAAUUUUCUUGUAUUUUUAGUAGGGACAUGUUGGCCAGGCUGGUUGUGAGCUCCUGGCCUCAGGUGAUCCACACGCCUCAGUGUCCCAGAGUGCUGAUAUUACAGGCGUAAUAUGUGAUCUUUUGUGUCUGGUUCCUUUCACGUUGAACGCUAUUUUUGAGGUUCGUGCCUGUUGUAGACCACAGUCACACACUGCUGUAGUCUUCCCCCAUCCUCAUUCCCAGCUGCCUCCUCCUACUGUUUCCCUCUAUCAAAAAGCCUCCUUGGCGCAGGUUCCCUGAGCUGUGGGAUUCUGCACUGGUGCUUUGGAUUCCCUGAUAUGUUCCUUCAAAUCCACUGAGAAUUAAAUAAACAUCGCUAAAGCAUGACCUCCCCACGUCAA